AAUGAGAGUUUGAUCCUGGCUCAGGACGAACGCUGGCGGCGUGCCUAAUACAUGCAAGUAGAACGCUGAGGUUUGGUGUUUACACUAGACUGAUGAGUUGCGAACGGGUGAGUAACGCGUAGGUAACCUGCCUCAUAGCGGGGGAUAACUAUUGGAAACGAUAGCUAAUACCGCAUAAGAGUAAUUAACACAUGUUGGUUAUUUAAAAGGAGCAAUUGCUUCACUGUGAGAUGGACCUGCGUUGUAUUAGCUAGUUGGUGAGGUAAAGGCUCACCAAGGCGACGAUACAUAGCCGACUGAGAGGGUGAUCGGCCACACUGGGACUGAGACACGGCCCAGACUCCUACGGGAGGCAGCAGUAGGGAAUCUUCGGCAAUGGACGGAAGUCUGACCGAGCAACGCCGCGUGAGUGAAGAAGGUUUUCGGAUCGUAAAGCUCUGUUGUUAGAGAAGAACGUUGGUAGGAGUGGAAAAUCUACCAAGUGACGGUAACUAAC
rnacentral:rRNA from 1 species